rnacentral:rRNA from 1 species
AUUGAACGCUGGCGGCAUGCCUUACACAUGCAAGUCGAACGGCAGCACGGGAGCAAUCCUGGUGGCGAGUGGCGAACGGGUGAGUAAUAUAUCGGAACGUGCCCAGUCGUGGGGGAUAACGCAGCGAAAGCUGUGCUAAUACCGCAUACGACCUAAGGAUGAAAGCGGGAGAUCGCAAGACCUCGCGCGAUUGGAGCGGCCGAUAGCGGAUUAGCUAGUUGGUGGGGUAAAGGCCCACCAAGGCGACGAGCUGUAGCUGGUCUGAGAGGACGACCAGCCACACUGGAACUGAGACACGGUCCAGACUCCUACGGGAGGCAGCAGUGGGGAAUUUUGGACAAUGGGCGCAAGCCUGAUCCAGCAAUGCCGCGUGCAGGAUGAAGGCCUUCGGGUUGUAAACUGCUUUUGUACGGAACGAAACGGCCCUUUCUAAUACAGGGGGCUAAUGACGGUACCGUAAGAAUAAGCACCGGCUAACUACGUGCCAGCCGCCGCCGUAAGAC